rnacentral:rRNA from 1 species
AGAGUUUGAUCCUGGCUCAGGACGAACGCUGGCGGCGUGCCUAAUACAUGCAAGUCGAGCGAACCCUUCGGGGUGAGCGGCGGACGGGUGAGUAACACGUGGGCAAUCUGCCUAUCAGACUGGAAUAACACUCGGAAACGGGUGCUAAUGCCGGAUAGUUCAAGGGAAGGCAUCUUCCGUUGAGGAAAGUUGCAAAUGCAACACUGAUAGAGGAGCCGCGGCGCAUUAGCUAGUUGGUGAGGUAACGGCCCACCAAGGCGACGAUGCGUAGCCGACCUGAGAGGGUGACCGGCCACACUGGGACUGAGACACGGCCCAGACUCCUACGGGAGGCAGCAGUAGGGAAUCUUCCGCAAUGGGCGAAAGCCUGACGGAGCAACGCCGCGUGAGCGAAGAAGGCCUUCGGGUUGUAAAGCUCUGUUGCUCGGGGAGAGCGAUAAGGAGAGUGGAAAGCUCCUUAGGAGACGGUACCGAGUGAGGAAGCCCCGGCUAACUACGUGCCAGCAGCCGCGGUAAUACGUAGGGGGCAAGCGUUGUCCGGAAUCACUGGGCGUAAAGCGUGCGUAGGCGGUUGUGUAAGUCUGGAGUGAAAGUCCAAGGCUCAACCUUGGUUUGUCUUUGGAAACUGCA